rnacentral:snoRNA from 1 species
AUCAGGCAUGAUCGAAGCCAUGCUGAAGACUUUGGUCUUUGUGUGGUCAAAAAUAUGCCAAGAGAAUCAUCUUGCAUACGGUCGCUGUUUGAUAUCUAAGUUGUUUAACAGCAUUACCAAAUGUAAGGACAUGA